rfam:Pichia membranifaciens DNA, contig: CON092, strain: KS47-1.
UCCGAUGUAGUGUAAUGGCUAGCACGGUUCGCUCUCACCGAGCAGAUCCGGGUUCGAUUCCCGGCAUCGGAG